AUUGCACGCUGGCGGCAGGCUUCACACAUGCAAGUCGAACGAGUGGCGGACGGGUGAGUAAUUCUUGGGAAACUAGCUGAUGGAGGGGGAUAACUACGGGAAACUGUAGCGAAUACCGCGUACCAUAGGAUGAGCCAAAGUGGGAUUAGGUAGUUGGUGGGGUAAAGGCUCACCAAGCCGACGAUCUCUAGCUGGUCUGAGAGGAUGACCAGCCACACGGGGACUGAGAGACGGCCCAGACUCCUACGGGCGGCAGCAGUGGGGAAUAGUGCGCAAUGGGGGCAACCUGACGCAGCCAUGCCGCGUGAAUGAAGAAGGCCGUCGGGUUGUAAAGUUCUUUCGGUAGCGAGGCGUUAACUACAGAAGAAGCACCGGCUAACUCCGUGCCAGCAGCCGCGGUAAUAC
rnacentral:rRNA from 1 species